GAUAAAAAAAGAUUGUGAAUUGAAACUCGAAGCUUGGGCUAGCUAUCACAGUGCUUUUUGCCAGAGAAAAAGCAGUCCCUUAUUUGCCUUCCUCAUGCUGCCUUAUAGGGUUUUAAGAACCCAACCCAACUUAGUGCCACUGAAGUGGCCAGACAGAAUUAAUGAAAUGCUUUGCUUUUUCCUGGUGAUGUUAGUUUGGGACAUUUGAAAACCAGAAACUAUUUUGUAUUGUACCAUUAGUAUCCUGCGAAGUGAACAUUUUAAAUACUUGUUGUAUUUGCACAUGUCAUUGGUUACCAUAAUCUGUAGUAGUUGGAUCUUUUCCAAGAAUUAUAGAACACUGUAUGUUAAUUAUACUUCAGUAAGAAGAGUCAAUUUUACUAUAUCAUUGUCACUUUCUUGUUUCUAUAGUAAUUGACUUGGUCUUUGGGGAAAUACUUAGGAUGUUUUUCGUUGAAAUAUAGGCAUUUUCAGAAGUGAUAGAAAAACCUAGUAAAUUGUUAAAAUCUUAACAGUAUUCAGAGUUCAUCAUUAUAUUUUUGGAGAGUGAUUUUCUCUUGGUGUUCAUCUAAGUGUAUUCACCAACACCUAAUAAUAUUCAUGGAAAUUAAACAUAAUUUCUAGUCAAAAGCUAAAAUACCAAAGUCAUACUCUCAGCACAUGAAAUUAAUAAAGACACACACGAUCAUAGUGGAUACAACUUUUAUAUGUGUACCACGAUCAUAGUGGAUACAACUUUUAUAUGUGUACCAGACAGUCUUUGUACAUUGUAGACUUAUCACUGAAAAGAAAAAUCAAUACAAGAUUACUUUCAUUUAAGAUAGAAUGAAACAAAGACACAAGACAUUCCUAUAUAUUCAAAUAAUUGGAUCAUAACAAAAUUUAAAGCAACAAAUGACAAACAAAUGAGAUUUAACUCUGAUGCAGUUUAGAUUGAUUGAUUUUUAAAUAUUUUAUUUAUUAGAGAAAGAGAGAAAGCACAAGAAGGAGGAGUGGCAGAGGGAGAAGCAGACUCCCCACUGAGCAGGGAGCCUGACCCCAGGACCCUGAGAUCAUGACCUGAGCCGAAGGCAGACACCUAACCAACUGAGCCACCCAGGCACCCCUGAUGUAGUUUAGAUUUAAAAAUAAAUGUUAUAGCACAAAAAAGUAACUCCUUUCAGUAGGUGAACUUGACAAACAUGAAUGAAAAUAUAUCCAGGCAAAAAAAGAAGCUGAGUGCUGGAGGAACAAUGUGGGGUUAAGAUGGGAUGUUCCAGGCCAACCAGAGAAGGCUUAUUUUUUUAAAUUUCUUGUUAUCUUGCAUGUUGCCAGGAGAGGGCAGCCAGUCCCCAGACUGGAAACCAGCUAACAAACUAAUUCUCAACUUUGCACAUGCCAUUUUCAGAAAGUAUUGUGAGAUACAGAGAUUUUUUUUUUAAAGCCUACAUCCAUGGCCUAUUCUAUUGACCGUAACUGGGAGCCUGAUGCAGAUGGAGGGCACUCAACCAAGAGUCAUAUGAACAACUCUGAUUUUGGAACGCCUUUGCCCUAGAUCUUAGCAAUUUGGUGUCUGCAAACAAGUUUACGAACAUCCUAGAAGAUUUUUUAAAAUCUGUAAAAUGGAUGUAAUGCUACCAAACCCGCCUCCUUGAAGAGUGCCAAUUAAUGAAGCCAUGUUUGUGAAAGCCCUGUCAUUUGUUCGUUCAUUCAUUCAUCUCUUCACUUAUUCAGUCAACACGCAUGAGCCCUUAUAUACUGCGGUGCUGGAUGCUGAAAUGCGAAGAUGAACAUCACAUGGGCCUGCCUUCAGACAGUGCGUCGCUAACUGCACAGGAACAGGGUGGUGGUGCCAGGUGCUGCCCUGCGAACAAAGCAGUAGGCCAGCAAGGCUUGCCGGGAGCGCCUCUCUGCUUAAUGACCCUCACGUGUUGUCCUUGUCUCCUGUUGCUCUACUCUUUGCUCACUCUGUUCUAAUCACACAGGUCUCCCAGCUCUCCUUGAGACUCAAGUUCCCUGCUUCUUUUGGGAUUUGUGUUUGCUUAUCCUUGCCUGGCAUGCUCUUCCCUUAGUUACCUACAUGGCUCACUCUUUGGGAUUGUUUUUAAGUCUCUGCUCCCCUGGAGAGUCCUUAGAGAGGCGGCUCGGAGCACAGUAUCUGAAACAGUAGGUUGGUUACCAUCUAUUUCAGUCUCUGUCUGAGAAUUGAGACCUCAUUCCUAAGGCAUCCGUCAUAUGUACUGCAUUAAAUUCUCUCCUGUGGACCUAAAAUGGUAAUAGCUAUGCAUCGUCUUUGGGGAAAUUGAGAAAAUGGUCUCUCAGAUCCCUUUCUGUGUUCUGUUGAGGAAGGUAAGUUGAGUCUGUGUUUCAGUUUCUCUAGCAAACUUACCACUCACCAGAUACUAUAUACAAAUGCAUUUGUUAGUUUAUCUUUUUUUUCCUCACUGAAACACAAGCUCCAAGAAGAUAGGAGCUAUGGCUUGUUCACUGUUGUAUCUCUAGCAUCUCGAAUGGUGCCUGGCAAUAUGCCUUUGUUGCAUGGAUGGAUGAAUGGAUGGUGCAUGAAUGAAUGAAAUGUUGAGAAAGCACUUGAGAGAGAACUCUUGAUCUGGAUCUUAUAAGAUAAGCAGAAUUUUACUUUGCAGGUGGGAGUGGGUACGGUAUUCCAAGCAGUAAAAUAGCAUGGUUUAAUAAAACAGGCUUGUAGAUUUGAGAGUACCAUAUCCAGGUAAGGUAGUGGCUUUCUGAAGUAGUAAAUCCAUAUGCUUUUAGCCUUUCUCGGGUUUAUUUUCUUUCUGAGGAAUAUUAUAGACCAUAUACAUACUGUAUUAUUCACAAUACAUUUUUUAACCAAAAUAAAUUGUAUUCCCUGGGCAGAUACCUCCAUCUGUUUGCAGUCUUAUAUGCUCAGGAAAAUACAGAUUUUAACAUUAGCCUAAAUGGUAUAUAUAAUCAGAAAUUUAUCAGGGGCAAUAUUGUUGGAUAAAAUUUCAAAUCUAACACAUUACUUUGGCUUA
rnacentral:lncRNA from 1 species